GACAGAGGGUGCGAACGUUGUUCGGAAUUACUGGGCGUAAAGCGCGUGUAGGCGGCAACGCAAGUCGGGCGUGAAAUCCCACGGCUCAACUGUGGAAGUGCACUCGAAACUGCGUAGCUAGAGUCCUGGAGAGGAAGGUGGAAUGCUUGGUGUAGAGGUGAAAUUCGUAGAUAUCAAGCGGAACACCGGUGGCGAAGGCGGCCUUCUGGACAGUGACUGACGCUGAGACGCGAAAGCGUGGGGAGCAAACAGG
rnacentral:rRNA from 1 species